rnacentral:tRNA from 1 species
GAGGAUAUAGCUUAGUGGUAGGGUACGUGCUUAGCAUGCAUGAGGUCCUGGGUUCGAUCCCCAACAUCUCCA